GCUUUUCUUUUUGUAAUGAGGUUUGGUAGGCCUUGUUUUAACAUUUUCAUUCAUUGAAAUAAAUAAUAUACAAUAAGAUUAUUCGUAUUUGGUACAUGGAGGUCAAUAAAAUGUGUGAUUAAAUUUAAAUGCUUAUUCGACACCUAAGACAUUUAUUGUGACUUAAUUUUAGAAUUUCCAUUAUGAUGAACUGUAGUAGCUGAAACUAUAAAAUUUUAUUAAAUAGUUGGAUUUGUUUUUUUUUUUAAUUAGUUGACUUCUUCUUUUUUUUUAAAUAGUUGAAACUAGAAAAAUUAUUAAAUAGUUGGAUUUGUUUUUGUUUAAUUAGUUGACCUUUUUCUAAUUUAAAUUUUUUUAAUUCCCUUGAAGAUCACCAAAUGAGCCUUAGAAUCGAGAAUCAAAAUAGAUGUUUUAGUUGGUUAACUGUUUGUUCAAUCACAAUCAAG
rnacentral:lncRNA from 1 species